rnacentral:misc_RNA from 1 species
UUGAUUGCGAAUCGUUGCCUUCCGUGCUGGCCAGUUCUGGCAAGUGCACGUCGGUGACUUUCAUCCAAUACCCUGUGCACCUUUGGCCUCUGCUAGCUUCGGCCGGCAGAGGAAUUUACACAAACUCGAAUGUAACGAAAUCUAUUGUCGUGCGCAAGCACUAAUGUA